CCGGCGAAGUAGUCUCCUAGCAGCGAGGAGCGAGGCAGAGGGACCGCGACGCAGCGCUGUCUGCUGUUGAGCUCAUUUCUGUAGCAUGGUGGAAUUAGCAAGGUUGCUAGCUAACUAGUCAGUCAUUAAAUGAGUAAAAUUGAACAACUUAAUGCCUCAUCCACACACUCUUAUCACAGCGUAGGAAAGCACAGUGCUACCGCCAGAUGAGUGAUAACUUUGUUCGGCUCAUUUCCUGUUUUUUCAUGACAGCA